rnacentral:rRNA from 1 species
GAUGAACGCUGGCGGCGUGCCUAAUACAUGCAAGUAGAACGCUGAAGGCGGAGCUUGCUCUUCUGGAUGAGUUGCGAACGGGUGAGUAACGCGUAGGUAACCUGCCUGGUAGCGGGGGAUAACUAUUGGAAACGAUAGCUAAUACCGCAUGACAACAGUUAUUGCAUGAUAACUGUUUAAAAGGGGCAACUGCUCCACUACCAGAUGGACCUGCUUUGUAUUAGCUAGUUGGUGAGGUAACGGCUCACCAAGGCGACGUUCCAUAGCCGACCUGUGAGGGUGAGCGGCCACACUGGGACUGAGACACGGCCCAGACUGCUACGGGAGGCAGCAGUAGGGAAUCUGAGGCAAUGGACGGAAGUCUGACCGAGCAACGCCGCGGGAGUGAAGAAGGUUGUCGGAUCGGAAAGCUCUGUUGUAAGAGAAGAACGAGUGUGAGAGUGGAAAGUUCACACUGUGACGGUAUCUGACCAGAAAGGGACGGCUAACUACGUG